rnacentral:rRNA from 1 species
AUUGAACGCUGGCGGCAGGCCUAACACAUGCAAGUCGAGCGAGCGGUGGAUGGGUGAGUAAUGUCUGGGAAACUGCCUGAUGGAGGGGGAUAACUACUGGAAACGGUAGCUAAUACCGCAUACCAUCAGAUGUGCCCAGAUGGGUUUAGGUAGUAGGUGGGGUACUGGCUCACCUAGGCGACGAGCCCUAUCUGGUCUGAGAGGAUGACCAGCGACACUGAAACGGAGGCACGGUCCAGACUCCUACGAGAGGCAGCAGUGGGGAAUAUUGCACAAUGGGCGCAAGCCUGAUGCAGCCAUGCCGCGUGUGUGAAGAAGGCCUUCGGGUUGUAAAGCACUUUCAGCGGGGAGGCGUUACCCGCAGAAGAAGCACCGGCUAACUCCGUGCCAGCAGCCGCGGUAAUAC